rnacentral:tRNA from 1 species
AAACAAAGAAGUAAAAUUUACAUUUAGUUUCGACCUAAAUUUAGAGAAAGUUCUCCAUGUUUU